UCUAUUAUGGCAGAAUAAUAUGCAUUGGAUUUAAGACCCAUUUAUAAAGAUUUUAAAUCUUUUUAUAGAA
rnacentral:tRNA from 1 species